GAUGAACGCUGGCGGCGUGCCUAAUACAUGCAAGUCGAGCGAACAGAUGAGGAGCUUGCUCCUCUGACGUUAGCGGCGGACGGGUGAGUAACACGUGGAUAACCUACCUAUAGGACUGGGAUAACUUCGGGAAACCGGAGCUAAUACCGGAUAAUAUAUUGAACCGCAUGGUUCAAUAGUGAAAGACGGUUUUGCUGUCACUUAUAGAUGGAUCCGCGCCGCAUUAGCUAGUUGGUAAGGUAACGGCUUACCAAAGCAACGAUGCGUAGCCGACCUGAGAGGGUGAUCGGCCACACUGGAACUGAGACACGGUCCAGACUCCUACGGGAGGCAGCAGUAGGGAAUCUUCCGCAAUGGGCGAAAGCCUGACGGAGCAACGCCGCGUGAGUGAUGAAGGUCUUCGGAUCGUAAAACUCUGUUAUUAGGGAAGAACAAAUGUGUAAGUAACUAUGCACGUCUUGACGGUACCUAAUCAGAAAGCCACGGCUAACUACGUG
rnacentral:rRNA from 1 species